UGUUGCAGUGUGUCUGGGGCUACUGUGUGUUCUUCUACUGGCUGGGAUCAUAGGAUUUGGUGUCCACUACAACAGAGUGGCAGGUGACUUUGAGGAGGAGCAAACUCAGCUACAGACAGAGAGAGACCAGCUAGAGGGAGAGAGAGAUGACCUUCAAAAUAAAUGAUAUUUUCUGGAGCAACAUUUUCAACUGGGAUGGAGUCAUUUUGGAUCCAGUUUGUACCUCUUCUCCAAUGUGACUAGAACUUGGGAGCAGAGCAGACAGCACUGUCUAAGGAGAGGAGCAGACCUGGUAACCAUAAACA